UUUUUACAUUAGGACAAAGGACAUUGUCAAUUUAUUAUCCUCAUUUCAACCAUUUUACAGGUGAAGAUCAUGUUUCAAAACCAUUUUUUAAAGAAUUCUUCAUAAAUAAGCAAAGGCCACACAUUCCCAAAACCCCGUAAUCAAAUGUGUGAUGGGAAAGCAAUAUAUUCACGUUCAAUUUAGUCAACAAGUAUUAUAUGAGGCCAGAAAUAUUCACUCCACUACUGAGUCUUGUGCAGAUGUCCCACACUCUGUAAAGAGAUGAGGAGAACAUGAAGGUCUCACCCAUCCCUACCCCACACCAAGAAACCCUUCGUGCACUGCAGUGAGAAACCUGUUUCCAGACUGUGAAAAGGGGAAAUUCCACAGAAUAACUGUCCUUCAGACUCAGCACAACUGAGACAAGUGUCAUACUCUGUGGCUUAACUGGCUACUAAAUACAACAGGG
rnacentral:lncRNA from 1 species